rnacentral:rRNA from 1 species
UUGGCAUCUUCAACGCCGUCAUCGAUGCCGUCACUGUCGGUGUCCGUGUCGUUGGGAUCGGUCUCACCUGGCUCGAGCAGUCCGUUACCGUUGGGAUCCUCCAGCUGGUCU